AUGUUCAAGCAACUUCUGAGUUCAGUUUGCUCCCAUGAAGAACCGAAGUUCUUGAAUGUUUAUUCAAAUUUUAGGCAUUUCCAUUUAGUAUUCGUCCUUGCUCACCAAUGUCAAGUCAAGAUGAAAGGAACAUCAAGAUCUAUUUCCCAGACUUUGCCUGUUUUUUUUUUGUUUUGUUUUGUUUUGUUUUUUGUUUGUUUGUUUUCUCUUUUCAUUAUUGUUGUCCUUUACUCAGCUUGCACUCUGAAUAUAUACAAUUUUAAAAUUUUAAUGUCUACAAAAUAUAUUCAAUUUUGUGCUGAUUUUUUAAUUGUUUUACCCAGGGUGAAGUCUAAAAACACACAGGCAUUACUAAAAAUUUAUUAUUUACAUACUACCAUGUGAACUCAUUGUUCUCUGUGCUCCACAAACAGACAAUCAAAAAGACAGUCUCAGAGAUCAACAACAACAGGACAAAGAGAAGUGGUAAUAUUAGCCAGCAAGACAAGAGAUACCUGGUAUGCACCAGCACCUUCCUUGGCUUUAUGUUUUCAGUAGACAUUAAAGCAAGUGUCUUCAAGAAAAGACUUGAAAGAGCACUAUGUGAACACCUGAAACACAUUAACCAGGCAGGAAAGGCAGAAGGAAGGAUAUGUGUUCCACUUUAAAUAGCAACUGAUGGGCAUGACUUUCUGGGCCAGGGACAACAUCCCAAAAGAGAAACCCAGGAGGUAAAGGCACCUGGGAGGAUUUUUGGAAGUCAUGAGAAAGAGCUUACAUUUGACUGAGCAUAGAGAAAUUUAUUGGCAGGAUCCAAAGAAAGUGGGGACAUGAACAGUGCAUUCAUUUCAAAAAACAAUCUCCAAGAGGCAUUUUACAUGAAUAUUGGCCUUGCAAGAUUAUAUUUGUCAAAGACAGAAACACAUAUGCUGCAUUAAAACAGAGUGCAAAAUAAUAAGAACAUCAAUGAGAGCUUCAUUGUGUGAAUAGCAAGGAGCGGUAAUAGUCUUAAGAUAUUAUGAAAAAGUGUAUGCAAGAUUUGAACCAGAUUUAAAAGAUUUUACACAGAUUUUAAUGAUUUAAUACAGCUAGAGAAUGAGGUGGUCAAUUCUUUUUCUGUGUAAGCCUUUUUUGUUUUGCAGAGUUUGGAUAGGGUGCUAAACUGAGUCCUUUUUUUGUGACCUGCAAAGACAGCACUUUCAAACUGCUGAAUCUUUGUGUAGUACUGAGAAUCCAAGGUGACAGUUGCAGCUUCUUUUCAAGAAGAGCUCUGCACAGUUGCUUCGGGAAGCAAGGAGUGUGUGUGUCUAUUGUGAUUUCAAACUUAAGACACUUUUCAGCUGGUAGCUGAAGCACACCAGCAAACUACUGUCUUAUCAAUAUACGAUAGGAACCGUCAAUGUCUUUUGCAAACAUUCCUCAACAUAACCCCUAAACCACUUCCACUUGUAUUAUAUCCACUUAAAUAUGCACAUUACAUAUAUAAAAGCAUUAGGAAGUUAGUGUUCAGUCACAGCAAAAUUGUCAUAUUAUGAAGAAAAUGAAUAAAAUCCCUUUGAAUAUUUUUCA
rnacentral:lncRNA from 1 species